AUAUAGUUGAUAGGAGACAACCUCAGGUUGUGCUGAGAUGCCUACUGUUUAUAUAUUUGAAAAUUAAUAUUUUCCUUCUUUUGGGAGCUAGAUCAGAAAACCAAGAUCACUGUGGAUGGUACUGAACAAUACUAGAAACUGUCCAUACCAACAUGGCAGAUGAUAUGGCUGCCAUGUCAUCUUGUCAUUUGUAUGGCCUUUUGGUUGUUUCACGGCAAUUACUGUGGCUAUGCAGGUGUCUGCAUUUAGAGGAAGGGCACUUUCCAUCAGUUUCUUCACUGAAUCUUUUAGGUCUUUCCAGCACAAGAAGUGUUUUGCGUUGUUUUCUAUCUACAAGUUCUACAAGCGCUGCAGCCUCAUUGGAAAUACAUUGCCAAGUUACACCUUUGUGAAAUGUGCUAAUAUUCAGACUGUAUCCAGUACUUAACAAACAUCAAUCAACCUUCCAGAAAGUUAUUUAUUUAUUUACACUAAGUGUGUUAGAACUCUUGAUAUGUGGACAAAUAGAAUCAUUUUAUACUGGUCAGAUCAUAGAAUUCUGUAGGUAUUUUGUAAUAUGAUAUGAAGUAGUGAUCAUUCACUUCAUACAAAGGGGUUUGAUUCAACUUAUAGCUAGAACUCCAGUCCUAUGCUGCAUUCGCAACAAAUGCUUUACUUGCAUUUUGCAGUCAUUCUGAGGCAGGUUUUCAAGUCUUCUAUGUUUGUACUCUUCUAUUUCACUGUAGAGUCCCACAAGACUUCUGCAAACAGAAAGGCCCCAUAUGCUGCCCCACUAAAUUGCUUGUCAUUGAUGUCUAAUUUGCAAACUUUAAAAUGAGACACCAUUCUAAUAUUGGGUUUCUUUUUCCUGAUGUGAAUAAGUUCACUACAGAAUACUCGCAGAGAAAGAGAUGUAUGUUGUCAAGCUAUUGUAUUAGGUGAAACGUAUUGGUUUUCUUUUUCUCUUUUUCUCCCCCCUCCUUCCCCCCUUCUUUAUUUUGCAGUAAUUGUUUUGAGUCUGUAAGUUCUGUUUAUGAAAAACAUUAUGGCUGAAGGUAUAAAGAAGACAGCAUUAAGGAUUUUGCCCACUUACAGCAAUUGCUCUGGAGACAAACGCAACUCAGAAGACAAAUGUUAUGACCUACCUGUAAGUUCUGGUCCUCAGAACAGAUAAAGAGCCAGGGAUACUUCUGAACUUGCAAAUGAAAUUUAUUCUUAAUGUAAUGGUUGAGCUCAUUGUCUGCUGCUCUUUCUAAAUGUAAAGUAAGGAAUGAAAUGCCCAUAUAUUCUAUAUAUAACAGUUGACAUGUUUUAUGCGUUCCUGUGUUUGCCUAAAAAGUCCUGGAUAAUCAACUUAAUUUGAUGUGCAAAAUAUAAUGCAUGGAUGAAUUCUGAUACAUAUCAGUCACCAUGUCUGCGCUGUUACGAGAGGCAGAAACUUCCAGAAGAGAAACGGCAAUGAAAAUCUUCCUGAUAAUUUUCUCAUCAGUUUUUCUCCAAGGACAUACCUGUAGUUGGUUUCCUCAGUGUUUGUGUUUUCACACACCCUGAAUGGCUGUUCUGUAUGUGUCAAUUAUUUUCUUGUGUUCUGUCUUCCUCUAUUAGAAAUCUAACCUACCUUAUCGCUUCAGAUCUUCAGUCCCUAUAACCUUAACUAGGAAACGCUGAAACAUUUCCUUUUCAGACUUUUUCAUUAUUUAAAUGUAUGUUUAAAGUAUUUUUUUUAACAGAGGUUAGCAUUUUAUAAGUAGUACCCUGGGUGUAAUGAGACUUUUGGCCUUAAUUAACUCUUCAAAUGUUUUUAACACAACUGAAGUAAAUAAGUUUAAAAUCUAAUGUACUUGCCCUAACCCUAUCAGUUUACUUUUUGCCUUGCUUAUUUUGGAUGACAAAGCCCCAAAUUGUUCUUAUUUUUAGAGAAUUUCUCACAGAAUAGAGUAUCUAUAGUUCUAGCAAAAAGGGAAAUUUGCAUGGGCAAAAAGGAUGAGUGGUAAUCCUGAUGAGGUGGGGGAAAAAAAGAUAAAUCAGUCUGUGAGGUUAGAUUUAGUUCUAUAUUAGUCUCUUCCUGUCUUGGAAAGCUGUACUUUUGCCAGAAUAUCCAUCAGCAUUAUGUAUCCUGACAAAAUUUGGUCAUAGGAUUUCAUAUCCUUUUGGUUGUUGUAUGUAGUUGGUGUAUCCUUUUACUGGAAAGAAACAGCUGGGUAUUUUCUAUCAUAAUGUGACCAAUCCACCUCUGUUGUUGUCAUUUUAAUUGCUGUGGCUGUUUUUUUAAGUCCUCUACAGAAGGUCUUUGUAGUGACAAGCGAACAGUUUAUGCUUCAUAAGCAAACAUAAAGAAUGCUGCUGCUAAUUGGAGAGGGUGUAAUGCAGUUAUGAUUCCAUCAACAUUGAAGUUACAGUGUUAAAGGACAUGUUUUACUUGUGUUUAUGUUGCCACAUAAAAUUUUACUCAGGGUGAAUUUGGUGGGGAAGAUUUUAUAACAGGAAAGACUAAUUCCAGGAUUAGGGGGAAGGGAGAGAGAGAGAGAAGUUAAAUUUUUCUAGCCCGCAUAUAGAGUAUUAAAGAUCAGCAUUUUAUUACUCUUUCUGUUUAUUAUAACUGUUAAUUGCUGGCUUGUGGAAUAACUUGUCUAUGAAAAUGGAAGGACUGUCACAGCCUCAGAAAAGCUCACUUUUCCCUGCCCUGGAUAACUGUAGCCACAGUGUUUCAUGUUGAAGUGGACUCUUCCAAAGUCACCAGUUUCCCAAAGGAGGUUGUUAUUCAGUAACUUAGUCUUUUGCUUUUUUUCCUAGAUAUUCUGCAUGUUAUAUCUGCAGACCUCCCAGUUUCUAAAAGUCUGAAGGACCUUGUUUUAGACAUUCCUUUUUUUCCUAAAUUACAACUCCAUGGAAUACUUGACUAUGGAUUAAUAGUUUUACAGUUAUAUAGGAUCAUAGAAUCAUAGAAUGGUUUGGGUUGGAAAGGACCUUAAGAUCGUCUAGUUCCAACCCCCCUGCCAUGGGCAGGGACACCUCGCACUAAACCAUAUCAUCCAACACUCCAUCCAGCCUGGCCUUGAACACUGCCAGGAAUGGAGCAUUCACAACUUCCUUGGGCAACAUGCCCAAGAUUAUUUCCUCUUAAUGCUUUUCUUCUUCCUUUUUUUUUUUUUUUUUUUUUUGGGUGGGGGUUUAUGUUUUUGUGGUUUUUUGUGGUUCUGUUUGGUUUUUAUUUGGUUUUGUUUUGUAUUGUUUUUUCUACUUAUAUCUCUCUUCUCAGGUGACAAAAUGUGUGGAACCUCAUUUUGAAUAGUCUUGGGAGGGCCAAAGGUGCUUCCUUUUCCAGUUCACUUGCUAGCUUGUUGGGUUUUAGAAGAUACAAUUUUUUAGCACCUAAAUAGGAAACCACAGCUAUUUACAUGAAAAGAAUCAGAGAGAUGACAGGGCUUCCCCCCAAACACUCUCUGUGUAAUUGCUGAAGACAUUCCAAGCCACUCUAACGGAGUGUACUGUCUGCCAGUCAUUAUGCUCUGCUUGGAAGACCAUCUGUUGCACUUCAAACAUGUAAAGGUCUGCUAUCAUUUAUUGCACCAAACAAAUCAGUUUCUUUGUCUGACAUGCUGUAGCUCUUCAAUGUGGACUAAAGGUAGUUUCAGUUGCAAAGUGCAGAGUAUUCUCUUUUGUUACGCUACAAAAGAAAGGCAUUAAUCUCAGAUUUUGGAAGACAAACAUACUGAUUAAACUAAUUUCAAUGCUUUUGAAUAAUUUCAAUUUAUUUGGCAACAAAUUGUUAACAAUAAAAAAUCUGAAAUAUAUUUUCUCUUAAUUCAACCAGAAGCACAUUGUAAGAUUUUUGCUUCUGGUGAAUGAAUGCCAUUGUAGUGGCAUCCAGAUUUAAUAGAAACUGACAUCUGAAUUAAAUUACCUUAUUUUAACUGAAUUCUUUAACUAGCUUAUUUUUAUCUGAAACUAGUAAUUCAAAGAAACUUCCAGUGAUAAAGAUAGAGUCAGCAGCUAGAAAUGCUAGAACCUUUCUCCUGAUAAGCAUACAUCCUUUAAGAGGAUGUAAUACUUGGUUGUACAGUCUUUAUUUACAUGAGUUAACUAGGAUCCCUUCCAUGAGUAAAAGGUAUUAAACAAUGAUUUGUUUUGUUUUUUCCUGCUGCAGAUUUAAAGGUAUGUAUGGUCAUUCAUCUCAGAUUGGAGAAAAUAAGCAUUCUGUUUUCCCAGCAGCAAAGUUCUGUUCAGAGAUUUCCAACCAGGGAAAUAUAUAACAAUUUCUGUCUGAUCAGGGAGUGGUCCUAUCUUUUCUCUCUCUCUUCCCCAUACUGCAUAGCAGCUAAUGUUCUGGUCAGAAGUAAUAAUAUGUUAGAUCUUGAAUGUCAGUAGCCCCCGAGAUUCUGACAAGACUAUUCAUGUGUAUUCAUACGUCUUAACCAAAGCUGACACUAAAGAGAGCAAGAAUUCUCAUAUUCCUCUUUUUAUUGCCAUGCAUUAAACUCACAUCUUCUCUUGGAGACCUCUGCUAAAAAUGACAUAUUCACCAUUUGAAAAAAGCAUUCUUGCAAAAUCUAAACAAAGCAGCUGAAGAUCGAUAUGGCACAGAGCAGAGUCUCCUUUGGAAACUCCUGGUACAAAUCUAAAUUACGUUUUACACCACAAGCAGGGACACCUUACAAGUGCUGUAAGAUAAAUACUAAUGGGAAAUAAGCGGUCCCCCUAAUCUUGUCUUCCAUGGGGGCUUUGCUAUUGUCAUUUUUAAUUAAAAAGUAAGUGGUCUUCUAAUUUCUUGAAGCGAUAUGGAAUGUCCUUAUAGGAAUGCUCGGAUUCCAGUAACUUGAGCUCAUUUUUUUCUGAGAAACACACACUGUGUAAAUGUACUGCUGUACCUUUUACUCUGGACAUAUUUUCAUACAUACUUGCAGUAUGCAGUACAGUACACGUGUAGUUAACUUUGCAGUGAUCUGAUUGUAUUGUUAAAGCCAGAUAGACAUUUCUUUAUAGCAAUGAUAUUCUAAAUCUUCUUUUUAAAAUUGUUUGGUAGCAGUGAGUAAUGCUGACUAGGUGGCUCUGGGCAUCUAGCCAUUUUUAGGUAGUUUAAUUUGUUAAAAAUUAUCUUUCUUCCCACCCAAAUCCCCUUGAAACCAUUUGGAGAAGAGAACUGUUGAACAGUUGCCAAUAGUAAGUCCUGCUGAGACCUCUGUAUCCUCCUGACAGAACUGUCGGUGCCAACUGGAGACUGACUGGCAUGGGUUUGAACCCUCUACUACUUGAUAUAGUUGCUUCACAUGGACCAAUUACAAUAAUUACCACCUCUGUAGCUGAAGUUUAAGCAUUCAGUCUGCGCUUUCUACCUCAGGUUGUUGGCAAUAUGUUCAGCCCUGUAAUCUCAAUUUUCUUUGAACUAAUUAAGUGGAAAAUAAAGACUUUGAAAAAUUAGGAGAAUCUGAAUGGAAAUCAAAGGCUAAAUAAUGUCACUGUUUUUCAUGUUGCUAUUGUUCCUCAGCUGCAUUUCUUUCUUUUUAGUCUUUACUUCUAAAAGGUAGCAUCUUCUUUUAAGUUUGUCCACAGAGAUUUACGAGGAGAUGCUGGAGUCCAUUGACUUUUUAUAUGCAACAGUGAAGUAUCUUUUAGCGUGAAAGAACAAGCGUUAUGAAGUCAUACUUCUUGUUUUGAUGUUUUUCAAAACAUAAUUAUUCCUUUCCAGAUAAAUACUUUUGACUAAAGGGGAAAAUCACCCAUCUAUCCCUUACUACUUUUGGCUAGAUGUUUCAAUGCAACUAUGAGAGAGAGUAAGGAUAGAACACAGGAUGAGUAGCGUUAACUGCCCAGUUCCUAAGGAUUCUGUUUAAUCUGAUGCAACCGGGAUCAUCUCACCCCUGCCCCCACUACUGCUGUCCUUCCAAGAGACCAGUUAAUUUUUAAAUUGGAUCAGUAGCUUUUUUUUUUAACUGGUAAAGUUUAUAUUACAGAAGGGUGACCGUGAGAUUGAGCACAAACUUAUUGACUGUAUCUUUCCUAAUAUGAAUGCAUUGCACAGCGUAUAUACUAAAAUUUAUAUUAAAAUUUCUUCAUGCAGUUUGCCUCUGGGGAGAGGAAGAGGGAAGGAAAAGGCUACAUGUGACAGAUGCUAAUUAUGCAGCUUAAUGCACUUCUGGAACUUGCAGAGAUGAGAACUGUAUAAGAACCUACCUAAAAAAUAGAAGGCAUAUUUUCGAGAACAUUUUUUCCACCUUUUUUUAUCUGCCUUCUCCCCACUUUUUAAGGAGGCUUUAUUUCCCAAGUAGCAUGUACAGUUUGCAAAGGGCAACAAGUGAUGUCUUGGGUCCAAAAUUUGCCAAACAUGGAUACUACUGUAUAUGAAGCGAAAGGGAAUGACUCUUAAAAAUCUCUAGUUGAUGUGUUAGUUUUCUUUCCUCUUUUGUCAGUAUUUUAUGAAUUCUUUAUCCCCUAUUUAUGUUUACUGGAAAAAGUAUGUUCUGCGCUUGACUGUGCUGGGAUCCUAUGUAAGUAUUUACGAUGACUAAUAUGUAAGUACUAAUGAAAUGGAUCUCAAACUGUAUUUUACAAAUAAGUGAACUGAGACACAGAAGCUGGGUUACUCCAAGCUGUGAAGUGAAUCGAUGCCAAACCCAGCCUUAGACACUAGGUUAAUCCUCUCUUCCAGAAGUCGAGCUGUGCGGUUUCAGGCCAAAGAAAUGGAUUCUCAGCUAGUGAAGAUUUGGUGUCGUCCUGAAAUCAAUGGGGAAAUGCAAGGCAUUGGAUUUCUCCUUCGGGAGGUGGUGUGACUUAAUAUCAUCUGCCUGCGCAGAGAGGUAACCGCUGUAACGACCAAAGCAGGGUGCUGAAACUCGGGAGGGCCUCGGCGUGCCCCUCGACACCCCUGGCAGCACGGGGCGAAUUCUCCUUGCACCACGGUCCUCAUCUGCAGUCGCAACGGAGAAAACCAUCUGUUCCACUUGGAAAGGGGCUGGGUUCCACACGCCCUCCCCCCCGCAUCCCGGCUCCAGCCCCAGCUGCCGUGUUUCGAUGAGCAGUGAGGGGAUGAGUCUCCUGCGUUAAAAAUACUCUGGUUCUAUUUGGAUAAAAAGAAGAAUCUUCCUUGCCUACACUGCCACACAAAAAUAGUCUUAGUGUGAGUAAAUCUUCAAAGUUCCUCUUGGUGAAAAUAUCUAGCCUUGCUUUUUUUUCUUUAACUUCUCAUAUAAAUUUAUUUAUAGAGUGCCCUUCUUUCCUCCUACUCUGUUGCAGGAGGUUGCCACUCGUCUCGUUCAUGAGUCCUGAAAUAAAUUGCAGGGCCUUUGAAACAUCA